rnacentral:rRNA from 1 species
UACGUAGGGGGCGAGCGUUAUCCGGAUUUACUGGGCGUAAAGCGCGUGUAGGCGGCCCGGUAAGUCCGCUGUGAAAGUCGGGGGCUCAACCCUCGAAUGCCGGUGGAUACUGUCGGGCUAGAGUGCGGAAGAGGCGAGUGGAAUUCCUGGUGUAGCGGUGAAAUGCGCAGAUAUCAGGAGGAACACCAAUUGCGAAGGCAGCUCGCUGGGACGUUACUGACGCUGAGACGCGAAAGCGUGGGGAGCAAACAGG